rnacentral:rRNA from 1 species
UACGUAGGGUGCAAGCGUUGCCCGGAUUUAUUGGGCGUAAAGAGCGUGUAGGCGGUUUGGUAGGUCCGUUGUGAAAACUCGAGGCUCAACCUCGAGACGCCGAUGGAAACCAUCAGACUAGAGUCCGGAAGAGGAGAGUGGAAUUCCUGGUGUAGCGGUGAAAUGCGCAGAUAUCAGGAAGAACACCCGUGGCUAAGGCGGCUCUCUAGUACGGUACUGACGCUGAGACGCGAAAGCGUGGGGAGCGAACAGG